CCCAUCUUCUGUUGAGCUUCAGCUGGUAGACAGAUGGCCUUAAGUUCUAUUGCAAAAUGUCUUGAUAAACUUGGGAAUUAAUUUUUCCUUCGAUGAUAGCAAUCCUUCCAGGCCCUGACGCAGCAAAGCAGCCCCAAACCAUGAUGGCCCCACCACCAUACUUCACAGUUGGGAUGAGGUUUUGAUGUUGCUGUGCCUUUUUUUCGCCACACAUAGUGUUGUG